rnacentral:rRNA from 1 species
CACGUAGGGGACGAGCGUUGUCCGGAUUCAUUGGGCGUAAAGCGCGCGUAGGCGGCUCGGAAAGUCGGUCGUGAAAUGCCGGGGCUCAACCCCGGGACUGCGUCCGAUACUCCCGGGCUGGAGGCAGGUAGGGGAGAUCGGAAUUCCUGGUGUAGCGGUGAAAUGCGCAGAUAUCAGGAGGAACACCGGUGGCGAAGGCGGAUCUCUGGGCCUUGCCUGACGCUGAGGCGCGAAAGCUAGGGGAGCGAACAGG